rnacentral:rRNA from 1 species
UACGUAGGGGGCAAGCGUUAUCCGGAUUUACUGGGUGUAAAGGGUGCGUAGGCGGCUAGGCAAGUCAGAAGUGAAAUCCAUGGGCUUAACCCAUGAACUGCUUUUGAAACUGCGUAGCUUGAGUGAAGUAGAGGUAGGCGGAAUUCCCGGUGUAGCGGUGAAAUGCGUAGAGAUCGGGAGGAACACCAGUGGCGAAGGCGGCCUACUGGGCUUUAACUGACGCUGAGGCACGAAAGCGUGGGUAGCAA